AAGUCGUAACAAGGUCUCCGUUGGUGAACCAGCGGAGGGAUCAUUAUUAGAGCCUAAAAACUCCCUAAACCAUUGUGAACUUACCUAUCGUUGCUUCGGUGGGCGGCCCCCCCGGGGGCCCUCCAGGCCGCAAGGCGCCCGCCGGAGGUUAUUUACACUCUUGUCUUCUACCGUCACCUCUGAGUAUAAUAAAAAAAUAAUCAAAACUUUCAACAACGGAUCUCUUGGCUCUA
rnacentral:misc_RNA from 1 species